rnacentral:rRNA from 1 species
UCAGUCGACUCCUACGGGGAGGCAGCAGUGGGGAAUAUUGCACAAUGGGGGAAACCCUGAUGCAGCCAUGCCGCGUGUGUGAAGAAGGCCUUCGGGUUGUAAAGCACUUUCAGUAGGGAGGAAGGUAGUGUAGUUAACACCUGCAUUAUUUGACGUUACCUACAGAAGAAGCACCGGCUAACUCCGUGCCAGCAGCCGCGGUAAUACGGAGGGUGCGAGCGUUAAUCGGAAUUACUGGGCGUAAAGCGCAUGCAGGCGGCCUGUUAAGUCAGAUGUGAAAGACCCGGGGCUUAACCUCGGAAUUGCAUUUGAAACUGGCAGGCUAGAGUCUUGUAGAGGGGGGGUAGGAAGUUUACAGGUGUAGCGGUGAAAUGCGUAGAGAUCUGAAGGAAUACCAGUGGCGAAGGCGGCCCCCUGGACAAAGACUGACGCUCAGAUGCGAAAGCGUGGGGAGCAAACAGGAUUAGAUACCCCUGGUAG